GCAGAACGCGAAGAACCUUACCUACCCUUGACAUCCCGGUUUCGGUAUCCAGAGAUGGUGUCCUCCAGUUCGGCUGGUCCGGUGACAGGUGCUGCAUGGCUGUCGUCAGCUCGUGUCGUGAGAUGUUGGGUUAAGUCCCGCAACGAGCGCAACCCUUGUUCUCUGUUGCCAUCAGGUAAAGCUGGGCACUCUGAGGAGACUGCCGGUGACAAACCGGAGGAAGGUGGGGAUGACGUCAAGUCAGCAUGGCCUUUAUGUCCAGGGCUACACACGUGCUACAAUGGCCGGUACAAAGCGCUGCAAACCCGCGAGGGUAAGCCAAUCGCAUAAAGCCGGUCUCAGUUCGGAUUGCAGGCUGCAACUCGCCUGCAUGAAGUUGGAAUCGCUAGUAAUCGCGGAUCAGCAUGCGCGGUGAAUACGUUCCCGGGUCUUGUACACACCG
rnacentral:rRNA from 1 species